rnacentral:rRNA from 1 species
AUUGAACGCUGGCGGCAGGCCUAACACAUGCAAGUCGAACGAGUGGCGGACUGCUGAGUAAUGUCUGGGAAACUGCCCGAUGGUGGGGGAUAACUACUGGCAACGGUAGCUAAUACCGCAUACCAUCGGAUGUGCCCAGAUGGGAUUCGCUAGUAGGGGGGGUAACGGCUCACCUAGGGGACGAUCCCUAGCUGGUCUGAGAGGAGGACCAGCCACACGGGAACUGAGACAGGGUCCAGACUCCUACGGGAGGCAGCAGUGGGGAAUAUUGCACAAGGGGCGCAAGCCUGAUGCAGCCAUGCCGCGUGUAUGAAGAAGGCCUUCGGGUUGUAAAGUACUUUCAGCGAGGAGGCGGUACUCGAAGAAGAAGCACCGGCUAACUCCGUGCCAGCAGCCGCGGUAAUUG